rnacentral:rRNA from 1 species
AGANUNNGCGCGGGGNNCNNGCNUAACACACACNNNUGGGANGGNAGCACAGAGAGCUUGNUCUUGGGUGACGAGUGGCGGACGGGUGAGUAAUGUCUGGGGAUCUGCCCGAUAGAGGGGGAUAACCACUGGAAACGGUGGCUAAUACCGCAUAACGUCGCAAGACCAAAGAGGGGGACCUUCGGGCCUCUCACUAUCGGAUGAACCCAGAUGGGAUUAGCUAGUAGGCGGGGUAAUGGCCCACCUAGGCGACGAUCCCUAGCUGGUCUGAGAGGAUGACCAGCCACACUGGAACUGAGACACGGUCCAGACUCCUACGGGAGGCAGCAGUGGGGAAUAUUGCACAAUGGGCGCAAGCCUGAUGCAGCCAUGCCGCGUGUAUGAAGAAGGCCUUCGGGUUGUAAAGUACUUUCAGCGGGGAGGAAGGCGAUGCGGUUAAUAACCGCGUCGAUUGACGUUACCCGCAGAAGAAGCACCGGCUAACUCCGUGCCAGCAGCCGCGGUAAUACGGAGGGUGCAAGCGUUAAUCGGAAUUACUGGGCGUAAAGCGCACGCAGGCGGUCUGUUAAGUCAGAUGUGAAAUCCCCGGGCUUAACCUGGGAACUGCAUUUGAAACUGGCAGGCUUGAGUCUUGUAGAGGGGGGUAGAAUUCCAGGUGUAGCGGUGAAAUGCGUAGAGAUCUGGAGGAAUACCGGUGGCGAAGGCGGCCCCCGGACAAAG